AAAAAAAAAAAAAAAAAAAAAAAAAAAAAAAAAAAAAAAACUCCAGCAAGAAACAAGAAGUGAAGGGAAGGAAGGUCGUAUUUGCAUAUGCGGAAACUGAGGGUGAAUGUUUGUGCAAGGAAAAAAGUGAUAAAAAGAGAAAUGAAAGAGGUAUUACAAAUGAUUUUGUUUAUGAAAUGUGCAGAGAGAAAAGGGGUGGGUUGGGUGAGCACUGUGUAGAGAGAGAAAUUGGAUGGAAGAUAUUCAACGAGUAGGGGGAGGUGGAAGGGGGCAGCCACGUCGUUGCGCCGUCAC